AUGCUCAAACUGGAACUGCUAGAGGAACGAAUUUUCAAUAGCAUAACUUUGGCUCCUAUAAUAUGGCGCCCUUGGGACAAUCUAUUUGAUUGGAGGGUUUUGUUCCGAAGCAAAGAUAUCCGCGGAGGCCGGUUCGUUCAUCCUAUUCUAAUAUUCAGGACCAAGAGGUACUGGAUUCUCUUUUGGAUAGGCCCUAAAAGGGGAAGAAAGGUUGAAAUGCCAAUGGACCUCUGUCUAUUCUCUAAUUCACCUAAUUCGAUAGUACCCAUUUUUGGAACAUCCAAUGCCAAAGUCACUGAAUGA
rnacentral:rRNA from 1 species